rnacentral:rRNA from 1 species
UACGUAGGGGGCAAGCGUUGUCCGGAUUUAUUGGGCGUAAAGAGCGUGUAGGCGGCCAUGUAGGUCCGUUGUGAAAACUCGAGGCUCAACCUCGAGACGCCGAUGGAAACCAUCUAACUAGAGUCCGGAAGAGGAGAAUGGAAUUCCUGGUGUAGCGGUGAAAUGCGCAGAUAUCAGGAAGAACACCCGUGGCGAAGGCGGCUCUCUGGGACGGUACUGACGCUGAGACGCGAAAGCGUGGGGAGCGAACAGG